CAGCAGCCGCGGUAAUACGAAGGGGGCUAGCGUUGUUCGGAAUUACUGGGCGUAAAGCGCACGUAGGCGGAUAUUUAAGUUAGGGGUGAAAUCCCAGGGCUCAACCCUGGAACUGCCUUUAAUACUGGGUAUCUCGAGUCCGAGAGAGGUGAGUGGAAUUCCGAGUGUAGAGGUGAAAUUCGUAGAUAUUCGGAGGAACACCAGUGGCGAAGGCGGCUCACUGGCUCGGUACUGACGCUGAGGUGCGAAAGCGUGGGGAGCAAACAGGAUUAGAUACCCGUGUAGUCCCUGUCUCUUAUAC
rnacentral:rRNA from 1 species